rnacentral:rRNA from 1 species
AUUGAACGCUGGCGGCAUGCUUUACACAUGCAAGUCGAACGGCAGCACGGGCUUCGGCCUGGUGGCGAGUGGCGAACGGGUGAGUAAUAUAUCGGAACGUACCCAGAAGUGGGGGAUAACGUAGCGAAAGUUACGCUAAUACCGCAUACGAUCUAUGGAUGAAAGCAGGGGACCGCAAGGCCUUGUGCUCCUGGAGCGGCCGAUAUCUGAUUAGCUAGUUGGUGAGGUAAAGGCUCACCAAGGCGACGAUCAGUAGCUGGUCUGAGAGGACGACCAGCCACACUGGAACUGAGACACGGUCCAGACUCCUACGGGAGGCAGCAGUGGGGAAUUUUGGACAAAGGGCGCAAGCCUGAUCCAGCAAUGCCGCGUGAGUGAAGAAGGCCUUCGGGUUGUAAAGCUCUUUUGUCAGGGAAGAAACGGUAGAGGCCAAUAUCCUUUGCUAAUGACGGUACCUGAAGAAUAAGCACCGGCUAACUACGUG